UCGUUUGGAACCUCUGGGUCUACGGAGG
rnacentral:sRNA from 1 species